rnacentral:rRNA from 1 species
UACAGAGGUCUCAAGCGUUGUUCGGAUUCAUUGGGCGUAAAGGGCUCGUAGGCGGCCAACUAAGUCAGACGUGAAAUCCCUCGGCUUAACCGGGGAACUGCGUCUGAUACUGGAUGGCUUGAGUUUGGGAGAGGGAUGCGGAAUUCCAGGUGUAGCGGUGAAAUGCGUAGAUAUCUGGAGGAAUACCGGUGGCGAAGGCGGCAUCCUGGACCGGCAUUGACGCUGAGGAGCGAAAGCGAGGGGAGCAAACGGG